rnacentral:rRNA from 1 species
UAAAUGAAACUAGAUACAAGCGAGCGGCGGACGGGUGAGUAACACGUGGUAACCUGCCCAAGAGACUGGGAUAACACCUGGAAACAGAUGCUAAUACCGGAUAACAACACUAGACGCAUGUCUAGAGUUUGAAAGAUGGUUCUGCUAUCACUCUUGGAUGGACCUGCGGUGCAUUAGCUAGUUGGUAAGGUAACGGCUUACCAAGGCAAUGAUGCAUAGCCGAGUUGAGAGACUGAUCGGCCACAUUGGGACUGAGACACGGCCCAAACUCCUACGGGAGGCAGCAGUAGGGAAUCUUCCACAAUGGACGAAAGUCUGAUGGAGCAACGCCGCGUGAGUGAAGAAGGGUUUCGGCUCGUAAAGCUCUGUUGGUAGUGAAGAAAGAUAGAGGUAGUAACUGGCCUUUAUUUGACGGUAAUUACUUAGAAAGUCACGGCUAACUACGUGCCAGCAGCCGCGGUAAUACGUAGGUGGCAAGCGUUGUCCGGAUUUAUUGGGCGUAAAGCGAGUGCAGGCGGUUCAAUAAGUCUGAUGUGAAAGCCUUCGGCUCAACCGGAGAAUUGCAUCAGAAACUGUUGAACUUGAGUGCAGAAGAGGAGAGUGGAACUCCAUGUGUAGCGGUGGAAUGCGUAGAUAUAUGGAAGAACACCAGUGGCGAAGGCGGCUCUCUGGUCUGCAACUGACGCUGAGGCUCGAAAGCAUGGGUAGCGAACAGGAUUAGAUACCCUGGUAGUCCAUGCCGUAAACGAUGAGUGCUAAGUGUUGGGAGGUUUCCGCCUCUCAGUGCUGCAGCUAACGCAUUAAGCACUCCGCCUGGGGAGUACGACCGCCAGGUUGAAACUCAAAGGAAUUGACGGGGGCCCGCACAAGCGGUGGAGCAUGUGGUUUAAUUCGAA